rnacentral:rRNA from 1 species
CCUACGGGUGGCAGCAGUGGGGGAUAUUGCACAAUGGGGGGAACCCUGAUGCAGCGACGCCGCGUGGGUGAAGGAGUGCUUCGGCAUGUAAAGCCCUAUCGGCAGGGAAGAAGCAAGACGGUACCUGACUAAGAAGCACCGGCUAACUACGUGCCAGCAGCCGCGGUAAUACGUAGGGGGCGAGCAUUAUCCGGAUUCACUGGGUGUAAAGGGAGCGUAGACGGCCAUGCAAGCCAGGGGUGAAAGCCCGGGGCCCAACCCCGGGACUGCCCUUGGAACUGUGCGGCUAGAGUGCGGGAGGGGCAGGCGGAAUGCCUGGUGUAGCGGUGAAAUGCGUAGAUAUCAGGAGGAACACCGGCGGCGAAGGCGGCCUGCUGGACCGCGACUGACGUUGAGGCUCGAAAGCGUGGGGAGCGAACAGGAUUAGAUACCCGUGUAGUC